CAGUAGCCGCGGUAAUACGAAGGGGGCUAGCGUUGUUCGGAUUUACUGGGCGUAAAGGGCGCGUAGGCGGACUGAUAAGUCAGGGGCGAAAUCCCAAGGCUCAACCUUGGAACUGCCUUUGAUACUGUUUGUCUUGAGUUCGAGAGAGGUAAGUGGAACUGCGAGUGUAGAGGUGAAAUUCGUAGAUAUUCGCAAGAACACCAGUGGCGAAGGCGGCUUACUGGCUCGAAACUGACGCUGAGGCGCGAAAGCGUGGGGAGCAAACAGGAUUAGAUACCCCUGUAGUCCCUGUCUCUUAUAC
rnacentral:rRNA from 1 species